CUUGUUUCUCUUCUGGCCUGAUCUUGGGUUAGCUUCAAGUAUACGGCAAUUUCCCGAGUUGGCCUACCAUCGUUGCCAAUUUGACCAACAGCUUUUAGGUCAGCUCCAGGCUUAUCGUCGUCCUCAUCCUCCCCGCCUUCGCUUUCUCCUUCGAGUGAACCAUGAACGAGUCCACUUGCUGCGGCUUGCUUCGGAGGAUUGAUGGCAUCAAUUGCGGGGGGUGAUGAUGACUCUGGGUAGGUGGUUAGAACGGCAUACUAACAACAAAAUAUAUAUUCUACUUAUUUCCCAUACCAUUUGGGCCCCGGCGAUGAUUGUGCGGUGUCUUGGAUCCCAUGACAGGCUUCCGUUUGUAUUCAUAAGGGGUUUUGAUUGUUGAUGGUUGAUGGGACUGUCUGUGAGAAGCCGUUGGAAUCUUAACCAAAGCUUGGCGCAUGCUUUCCCCCUUUUGGGCAAGCCAUGAUGCAGGAAUUAAUAUUCGUUAUACGCUGAACCGCCCGAAAUAAACCUUCAGCCAACCCGAUUGCCAACCCUAAUCCCGGUUCCCAACCCCGAUCCGUAGCAGAAAACGGAGUGAUAUCAGAACUGUAUAUGAAACGGACGGAGUAGGAUAAAAGACGUGUGUUAAAAGAAAAAACAUCCGUGAAUAUAAAACUGAAGAAGGCGAGGAAGGAGAAAGAGGAAAAUUGGAAAAAGGGCAUAAAAGGAAAAAAAGGAGAGGAAGUAAUACGGUGGGGGGGGAGAAGGAGAAUAAGAAGAGUAAGAAACUAGAACCAAUAGCCCUAUUCACCUAGAUAUUACUGUAGUGUCAACAGAAAAGGAAAAGGUGAAAAGUACAGUAAAUGGCGAACAUGCUAAUCGAUGUUUCCUAUCGUAGUAAUGAGUCUGUUUCUUCGUGAUGAAUCACCGUUGAAUUCCAAUCAUAAUCGUAUCGUGCCUGUCCCUUUCCUGACC
rnacentral:sRNA from 2 species